rnacentral:rRNA from 1 species
CCUACGGGAGGCAGCAGUGAGGAAUAUUGGUCAAUGGGCGGAAGCCUGAACCAGCCAAGUAGCGUGAGGGAUGAAGGUCCUAUGGAUUGUAAACCUCUUUUAUAAGGGAAUAAAGUGUGGGACGUGUACGGUUUUGUAUGUACCUUAUGAAUAAGGAUCGGCUAACUCCGUGCCAGCAGCCGCGGUAAUACGGAGGAUCCGGGCGUUAUCCGGAUUUAUUGGGUUUAAAGGGAGCGUAGAUGGGUUGUUAAGUCAGUUGUGAAAGUUUGCGGCUCAACCGUAGAAUUGCAAUGGAUACUGGCAGUCUUGAGUACAGUUGAGGGAGGCGGAAUUCGUGGUGUAGCGGUGAAAUGCUUAGAUAUCACGAAGAACCCCGAUUGCGAAGGCAGCUUACUAAACUGUGACUGACGUUGAUGCUCGAAAGUGUGGGUAUCAAACAGGAUUAGAUACCCUUGUAGUC